CCAUGGUGUUAAACAAUAUGUUCAUAUUUCAGCUGAGACUUUUUUAAUAGUCAAUUGUUUGCACAUUUUAAACAACGUUUUGUGCAAGAAUAUAAAACAAACUAACCUUAUACUCAAAUGAAUUUAACCUUAGCUAGAUGAAUCUUUUUUUUUUUUUUGGUUAUUAUAUUAUGUGCUGAAUAAUCGAUCUAAAAUUGGUAGAAUUUCGAGCUCAGGAUACCAAUCUCAACCUUAUCAAUACACCCAAGCAAUCACGACCAAAAACCUUUAAACUCUUUCCACACUCCGGUUGCUCAAAAUUUGUACUCACUUAGGACACAAAGGGGACGGUGUUUGCAGCCACAAAGGCUAGAAAAGAACAAGAAGAAACCGAGAGCACAAAGCAAAGAGCAAACUUGAUUUUCUCUCAAACAAGGCCAAACACACGUGAGUGACCAAAGACAAAGAGGCCAACUUAUAUAGGUCAGGUUAAAGUGAUGGAGCCAAGCCCAAUACAAAUACCCUAAGUGGGCCAACAUAUAUAAGACAUCCAAUAAAUGUAGAAAUCGGGCCAAGAGUAACACUAAUUAAUUAGAUUGCUUCCAACGACCCAAAUAGUCUUAGGGUUGGGUUAUCAAUCUUGGGUGUCGAUGUUUAAUUUAUCCAACAUCGAUUUAACAUCAUCGUUCGGAUUAUUGGGUACCAAAACCUAACAAUCUCCACCUUGAUGCCCAAUAAUCUGCAAACAAACAAAAUACACAGUUUAUACUUGCAUAAUCAAGGUAAUCCAAUAAAAUUGGUAUCACCGACUUUACCUUGUGUUUUGAACCUGAAACACAUACCGUACUAGCUAUACCAGGGCUAAGGUUUAAAAACACCCAAAUAAGAACAAGUAUUCACAGUGAACAAAUAAUCAUGUGAUGAAGAUAUUAUAUAGGAUAAUAUAUAGAUCUUUUCAAAAUCACAUUCACACAGAACCACACAUUAACACCAAAUUAAUCAACAUACGGUCAAACACAUAUGCAACAAAUUCAUAAAUGACCCCCGAAAAUAUCUCACCACGCAUAUCCUAUCCUAUUUCGUGUUACUCCCACCUCGAGAACACAUAUCUCCUCUCAUCGCCCACCAUGCUCACUAGAUAAUUACUCAACUCAUGUCUAACUGACAAGUUACAAUAGAUCCUAAGCUCUUGGGAUAAUCCUCUAUCACCACAUCACUUCUCUCAACCUACGUGGAUAAUGGGUUUCUACCUUACCAAAGUGAUAAAAGUGCCUCUUCACACUUCACCUGUACAAGGUCUUUUUCAUAGAUAAAGGAUUCUAGACAUUUGAUCACAUCUCCACUCGUGAUCCAAAUGUCACACUCCACAUCCCUAGUACAAACCACAAUGUACCCCUAGGCAUCUAUACUCACCUUACCAAAAGACAUCUGACUCACUGUUAAUGCAUCCUAAUCCACUAUACAUGCAAAUGAUUACAUCAAUUAAUCACAUUAUCUUAAAUUCAUGCAAACACACAUAUCAAACAAAUUAAAAUGCAACAUAUAAUCAUACAACAGAAUUAGGCAAUCACACAAAUGCAUAUGCAGUAGCUAGAUUUACUCUCAACAAACCUCACUAGGGUCAUAACUCAACCCCUCAAUCAAAUCUGUCUCACCCCUCGUAUUACUCUUCUACUUAUCCUUCUUCUUGGAACAAUUCAUAAUAAACUGUCCAGACUUACCGCAAUUGUAACACCAUUUACCACCAGACUUGUCUCAUCCCUUACCCUUCUUCUUACUACCUUCACCACUCGAGUCACUACUCGAAUCACCACUAUUUUGAGCUCUACCCAAGUUCAUUUGCUUAAACUUCAUCCUAUUUCUUAUUAGGUUUCACCGCUCCUCUUAUCUUCAUUUUUAGCCUUAAUUUCCAUUUCCUUACUCUUAAAUGAGUCUAUGACAAUCUCAGGUGUUAGGGUGUCCCUACCAUAUUUAUUUGCAUUUUUAACUUCCCUAUAUGAAUCAGACAUGAAAUUAAGUAAGAUAACUGCUUUAUAUGUUUCAGACACCUUUUAAUCAUAGUUAACAAUAUCCUGAACAAGUUUGUUAAAAGUGUCCAGAUUAUUGUCAAGAUCCUUUGAAUGAUCCAUUUCAAAGCUGAAAAAUCUUUCAAGUAAGUACAAUUUGUUAGUAGUGAACUUAAAUAAAUAUAAGUCCUCCAACUUUUUUCAAAGUUCUUUUGUAGAAUCCAAUUUCUCAACUUUUCUCAAAACAGUGUCAAAUAAAUGUAAGAUAAUCGAAGUGUAAACAAGUUCAUUGUAUUCCUCUUUUUGUGUUUCUGUCAAAUUUACAGGAUAUUUGUGUGGCAUUUGAAACUUUUUGUUGAACUAAAAUUCCC
rnacentral:lncRNA from 1 species